UUUUCAUAUUGGUGUUCAUAGAAAUAUUGCUGAAAGCCAUUUGUGGACUCAUUGUUGCUCCUGUUGUUAUCCUAUAUGGUAGGCUGAGACAUUGCAGCUCUCUUAGGCUGUUGAGGACUAGAAGGUGCCCGUGGGCUGGGCAGGUCUUCAGCAGUGACUCUGGGGGAGUGGCCCCUACAGGUGAAUCUGUGGCAAGGUAGAAGGUCCAUGGUUCUCAUAAGGAAGUGAAGGAGUUGCAAAAUGGGAGCUUCUGCAGAAAAGUGUCUUCUGGCACUAGCUGUGCCCCAUUCCUACCAUCAAUAAGCCUUGGGUGAAAAGAGGGAGGUGCUCCAGGGGGACUUGGGAAAGCAGAGUGGAUGUGACAGUGAAAAAUAAGGCUAUUGGAGGCACACAGCCAUGAGCCAGGAAUGGCUGAGCCCUGAGUCCCACAGGGACUCCCUCCAUAGGUCCGCCUAGAGGAGCACCAGGCUCCCACGGGUUCACUUUCAGCUGCUGAGAGCCAUUCUAUCCUUAGCACUGCCCUCCGCAGAGCUGCCACGAAUGUGUUCUGCACUGUGAGUCCAGAGAUCCACAGCUGCAGCUCUGGAGUGGGAGCUUUCCUUGGCAGCUCUGGGUGAGACGUGGGCAAGGGCACCAGCGGAAGGAGCCCCACUAUGCCCUGACCCGUGUGAGCACACGUCUGUUUCUGCGCAGCCUCCCUCGCAGACCCGCCGAAAUCUGGGUUAUAUAAUGCCACUGCUGCCUCGAAACAGGGAGGUUAAAAUGAGGUCGUCCAAGAUGGGAGCUGCCUGCAGCCGCCUCGGGAGGACGAUCCGCUGCCUGCGCCGAGCCCUGCACGCAGAGGAGCACUGCAACAUAAACAUACAGAAACAUAGGUCAGGAUGCUGGAAGUCUCCGGAGCGCUCACGGUGUGGAAUCAGGCCCAUUUCUUUAUUUGCAUCUCCCUGUUUACGUGACGAACUGUGCUGAGCAGGCAGCGUGACGGGCUGCGGUCACAGGGCACUGCAGAGCUGCGGGGUGCCAGAUCCACACAGCACAGAGCUCUGUGCCACAGCCAGCCCCAGGUGUUACCCUUUUUAAGCAUGUUUUAAGAGUGCAAGGUCUACAUUAUUCCUUCCAUCAUUGCUUUAUUUGCAGUAUGCUGUGGAAAGGCCAUCGCUCCAAGGGGAUCCACGUAAGAAAGUAUACAACUGUAAUAGAAAAAGCAAGAAUUCUGUUGCAUUAAAGCAGAUAUUCUUUUUCCAGAAUACUAAUGCAAUUCCUCCAGAACAAAGAGUGGAAGCUUCCUCCUGUAAAUGCAUUUCACAGAGACCACAAGGUGGGAAACAUGGGGCUGUUUGAGGGGAGCUGCUUGGGAUGAGCACAUCAAUGAGUUCAGCACCGGGCAUUGGGUGAUUCCAUGACUGGAGGGCCACUAAAACCAACAUGCUGCUGCAAACAAAGAGACAAAAGUCACAUUACCAGGAGCACAUGAGUUUGAGGAAGACCUACUCCCUCCUAACAGCAUGUGAAAACACCUGAUUUCCCAUUGUCAUGGUAAGCCUUUCCUUCAAAGCACUCCUAAUUUGUUUCCUGAUCCUCCAGCUUCUUGGCUGGUGCCAGAACAGAGCAGUGAGGGCUGGAGAGUUGUUGGCAGGACGGCAGCUGGGGAACAGUCUUUGUCUUUGACAGCAAGUGAUGGACAGUGCUUCUGUCCCACUGGGGGGAAUUUCUGCAUCACCAUCACUAAACUGGAUACAUGUGGGAUGAUUGCUGACCACAGAAAGAAGCCGAAGAUGAACCACCUACCUGCUGAAGGCAGAGGAUCAGCGCUGCUCCAGCCUUGCUCCUUGUUGGUACACAAGUUAGGCAAGUUACUUCGGGUAGAGAUCCCAGUGGGGGAUGGAGCCCUGUGUUAUCCUCCAAAGGGUCCCAGUUUGUGCAGGCAAUAUAACUGCACAUCAGUCUUUGCUGCUCCACAGCAGCACUCCCUUCAGGUUACUUCUCUGCUGAUUUUCAGAGGGAGCAGUUGGGCUGAGAACCCAGAGGGGCAGCCUGGGCAAUGCAGUGUUGCAAACCCUGCCCCAUCCUGGCAGAGCAAUGCUAAGGCAGGGAGUUACCCCGAGUAAAACCCUUGCUCAGAUGGACCAUGAACGCAGCCACAGGAUAAGGUAGCAAGCCAUAACGUAGGUAAGAAGCAUUUUGCAAAGGGGCAGUGCGUAAAAACAAGCCUGAGCAAAAGGAAAGUUAAGCCUCUUAAAUAUUAAAGUUCCAAAAUUAAACCCUUGUUUAUAUAACAGUUGGGUCACUGCUGCAGAACACGGGAGUUCACAGCAUUGCACCAAAAAAGGCUCUCGUGGAGCCAACAGCUGCUCCCCGGGGGCUCAGAGCAGGUGGGGAGCAGAGCUGCAGCCAGGAGGAUGCUCGUAGGGUUUGGCUGCCCUGACACGAAGUCUGCAGUCACCCCAUAAAGCAGUGCAACCCUUCGGGAUGUGCCUUGGAAGUUGGUGGAGGGGGAUGUCCGGCCCAUUCCUGCCUGCCCCCCUGCUUCGGUUUGGCUCAUCGCAGGUGAUAGCACAGCAACACAAGGCAAAUGCAUGCACAAAACAUAGAGAAUAACUUCAUGAAGUUUCUCUGCUGCUCAGUUAUCUUCAAAAAGCCAUCUAGAAAGGCCCGCAGAUACACCCCUACUUAUUAUUUUGUAAGAAAAGAGCACAAAAGAACUUAAUCCAAAGUAAAUAUUUAACCAAACAGCAAUUAACUAACAAUGAUGGAUUGUAAACAGCGCUGCUCCGAGGCUGAGCUGCAGCUCUCCUCUGUUUCUCUGGGCUACGGCUGCCCUAAGGGGGAAGGCAAGUUUACCGAGUCAGAUUUGUCUCUGCCACCUCGCUAUUAAAAGGCUCUACAAACAGAAACGGCAUCGGAUGAUCUGAGAGCGAGGAAAACAAUAAAGAACACAGCAAUGCAGGGCACGGGACUUGUAAGGCUUUAUGGAGCGACAACUGUCCUUGGGAAGGAGGGCUGAGCAAACACGAAGCUGUAAAGGAACUGCUUCCCAUCUGGGCAGCUUGUGUGAUACAUCCCAUGGGGCAGCAGUCCCACUUACCCACGAGGAAGUAGUGAUAAUAACAAUAAUAAUAAUAAUGUAUUUUAAUAUUUUAAUACUUAAUACUUAUUAAAUUAUUAUUAUGUCCCAUUUGUUAUUGUUAUGCUCCAUUAUCAUUAUGUUCCCUUCGGGAAGAUGUCCCCCCCACAGAUCACUACUUCCAUAAUAAUAAUAAUAAUAAUAAUACCACCACCACAAAUUCUAGUAAGUAUUAUCUCUUAUUUCCCACCCCCAGGUGCCUCCGGCAGCUGCAGCAGCCCGGCCAGGCUCUGUCCGUGCCCCCACCUGCACCAUGGCCCAGGGAAAGGGGUGGUUAUGGGGCGGGGUGGUGCACGGGGGACGCUCCCAUCCCGGCCCCUCUCCGCUCUGUCCCCGCGGCUCCCGGCGCGUCCCCC
ensembl:lncRNA